rnacentral:rRNA from 1 species
UUACCUGGUCUUGACAUCCACAGAACUUUCCAGAGAUGGAUUGGUGCCUUCGGGAACUGUGAGACAGGUGCUGCAUGGCUGUCGUCAGCUCGUGUUGUGAAAUGUUGGGUUAAGUCCCGCAACGAGCGCAACCCUUAUCCUUUGUUGCCAGCGGUCCGGCCGGGAACUCAAAGGAGACUGCCAGUGAUAAACUGGAGGAAGGUGGGGAUGACGUCAAGUCAUCAUGGCCCUUACGACCAGGGCUACACACGUGCUACAAUGGCGCAUACAAAGAGAAGCGACCUCGCGAGAGCAAGCGGACCUCAUAAAGUGCGUCGUAGUCCGGAUUGGAGUCUGCAACUCGACUCCAUGAAGUCGGAAUCGCUAGUAAUCGUGGAUCAGAACGCCACGGUGAAUACGUUCCCGGGCCUUGUACACACCGCCCGUCACACCAUGGGAGUGGGUUGCAAAAGAAGUAGGUAGCUUAACCUUCGGGAGGGCGCUUACCACUUUGUGAUUCAUGACUGGGGUGAAGUCGUAACAAGGUAACCGUAGGGGAACCUGCGGUUGGAUCACCUC